GACGUAGGGCGCGAGCGUUGUCCGGAUUUAUUGGGCGUAAAGAGCUCAUAGGCGGCUUGUUACGUCGGCUGUGAAAUCCCGCGGCUCAACUGCGGGUCUGCAGCCGAUACGGGCAGGCUAGAGUUCGGUAGGGGAGACUGGAAUUCCUGGUGUAGCGGUGAAAUGCGCAGAUAUCAGGAGGAACACCGGUGGCGAAGGCGGGUCUCUGGGCCGAUACUGACGCUGAGGAGCGAAAGCGUGGGGAGCGAACAGG
rnacentral:rRNA from 1 species